AGAGAUGGGGUUUUGUCUUGUUGGCCAGACUGGUUUCAGACUCCUGGCCUCCAGUAAUCUACCCACCUCAGCUUCCCAAAGGGCUCGGAUUACAGACGUGAGCUACUGCACCCAAACCGCCUCACCAUUUUUAAAAUGGGUUACCACAUAUGUAAAUAGAAUAGCUCAAUAAAUAUUCACUCCAUAACUGCAGGAGUUAGGGUAAAGGGAAAGAAGGCAAGACAACGUCAACAGGAGACCUGCACCCCAGAAAAUCCAACCCCCAUGGGGCACAGUCCAACGUGGGGGUGGGAAGAAUUUUGCCUGGAAUUACCGGGGCAACCCUCAAGGUGAGGGUAGGGGAAAACAGAAGUGGGGAUCCAUUUUUCAGGGGGAACAUGCUUGUCUUGGCGGUUUCUCCCCUCAAAGAUCCUGAGACCUCCAAGCAAGACCCUCGGGCCCCGCUUGGCUGGGGAGCGUUGAGCACGCCCAAGGAACGUGGACACAAGCCCCUCUGUACUGGUGUGUCUGUCGGGUCAGGGAUCCAGCCUGGCCCACGGUGACCCGGGAGGGCAGGUUCCGCUCAGUCUACUCGCUGAGCGCUGGCAGGGUGCUCAAUGCUGUUUAAACCCAGUCACUCCUCUCGACAGCCUCAGGCGGUUGAGGCUGUUACCAUCCCAUUUUACAGCUGAGUAAAUUGAGGCACGCGGAGUGGGGCGGUGAAGCGACUUGCUCAGGACGUCACAGCACUGCUGCCCCUGAUUUUGUCGGGGCUGGAGGCAGCCGGAGAGCCGGGCCGGCUCAGCACACGCGCCGUCCAGGGCAGCGGGUGGAGACCCAGGGGAGCCGGGGCGCGGAGCCAGACCAGCCCCGCCCCCGCGGGUCCGGCGCAGCCAAUGGGCACCCGGCCCGGAGUGGGGUGACGCGGCGUCAGCGCGUACUCCCGGGAGCCCAGCCCUGGGUCACAUGCGCCGCGCCCGCUCGACCCGGGAGGCAGGGAGGGGCGGCGGGGACAGGCUGAGCUCAGCCCCCAGGCCAGACACCUGGCCGGGACGACCGCCAGAUUUCGUUCUUCCUCUGCUAAGAGCCUGAUUUUCAGGGUGGGUUCCGGGACUUUGGCUGGAACUACUGUAUUGGGAAGAGGCACCCUCUCUCUGCCAGCAGGAUGUCUGCCUAGAGCUCCAGGUAGCCUGCAGUCAGCCACAUGGAAGAGCCAACCCAGAGGAGGCAGAACCAAGACUUAGACAGACAGAUUCCUGACCAAAUUCACAAGCACCUGGAUCCAGCUGUGCCUGAAGCUAAUUCAGUUACAUAAUUCUAUCUACCUAACACAUUCUUCUGAUUAAACAGUUUCUUCCACAACCAAAAAAUGUCCAAUGUGUCAUCUCUAAAUGAGGACUUUGGGCCACAAACUGCCUCCUUUUGGCAAAGAGGUCCUGAUGCUACUCUACUCAAGCAUUUCCCCAAUUUCUUUUCCCACAGAGCCCCUCCUUGAUCAGAACAGCUGUGAAUGUAUUGGGAGAGCACACUUCAGCAAGUGCCCUCAAGUCGGUUGAGUCAGAGUUGCACAGCCACCCUCCUGUUCCCGUGCAGCUGGCCUACCCACAGGCUCCCACAAUGCACACCUCAAGUGUGCAGCUUCAGUGCCCUGGGGCUCAGCUCAGAGCCUCCUCUCCCUGCAGGCCCUGGAAGAGGGCUACGACACUUACUGACUGCAGACUCCCCUUGACUCUGGGAAUGGACCCAGGCUGCGCGUUCCCCAAGGGCAGGUCUGGAGCAGCCUUCUCCCUCCCCUCUGGCAUCAGCCUGGCACACAGCAGGCUCUCAGGAACACUGCUGAAAGUACAAGUGGCCUAGGUGUCCUGGUGAUCCACAGUGGUGCCUCAGGACCAAUCUACUCUCCACAGGGUAAGGAUAGAGCUCAGGCCUCUUUCAGUGCUCACAUUGCCUGCUACAGGGCUGGGGGCACAUAAUGAGACAGGGUCUAUGCUGUCUGUUCAAAAGGGACCUGGGUUUGCAGCCCCCCACCCCCACUUCAGAAGCCCACUCCCCUUCCCCCCUGGGUGUGGGAACCUCUCUCUCCCUCCAACUGGUCGGAAACAGGGCUCUGCAGAGCUCCCUGGAGCCCAGGGAGGCAACUGGCCAGAGGGAGCUGGGUGCUGCCCCUUCUGGCUACGACUGGUGAUGGUGGUGGUGCCAACACAGCCCCUGCCGUGACCUGCCUCAUAUCAGUGGGCAGGAGAGCCCCUCCUGAGCCACCCUCCCAGAGGGCUGCUGCCAGCUUCAUCUGCUGGCCGUGGAAGUGGUGUCUUUCCUGCCACUCCAUGGCCCUGUCUGGGAGGUCUGUCUCUGGGUUGGUUGCUGGUUCUGCCACUACUCUCUGUGUGGCCUGGGGCAAGCGUACAGCUCUUUCUAGUCCUCCAUGUCUUCUCUGGCAUAGCAAGAGGUUGGCAAGAUCUCCAGGUUCAUCAGGGGUUUGCCGAGUCCACCCUGACUUGAGGUCUGUCCUUAAGCCCCAGCGAAGGGAUUAAAGGGCCCUCAGCCUCCUAAGCCACCUGGAGAAGGCACAGGUUCCACAGGCUCCCACAGUGCACCCCUUAUGACCCCCUAUGUCUCUGCACCUGAGGGGCCUCCUUCCGGGAGGACGGCUGCCUUACAACAAAGGGCUGUAGGCACCCACCUCCAGGACAAGGGGAGAGGGGAAAAGAAGCCUGUUUAGAAAGGGAGAGCAGGCUGCAAGGAUGGGAGGAGACAGGUUUCUUUUUGGGGGGAUAAAAAUGUUCUAAAUUUGGUUGUGGGGAGGAUUGCCCAACUCUAUGAAUAUUCUGAAGACUACUUAAUUGUACACUUUAAAUGGGUAAACUGUAUGCUAUGUGAAUUAAAUCUCAGUAAAGCUGUCAACAAAGAAAGUGUGAAGUCCA